rnacentral:tRNA from 1 species
GCCCAGGUAGCUCAGUUGGUAGAGCAAGGGACUGAAAAUCCCUGUGUCGCUGGUUCGAUUCCGGCCCUGGGCACCA